CUCAGCAGUCAGCUGGUUGGGCCUCACUCUCAGGCUAAAACUGGGCUAAAACGAGAGAGCUGUGUGCGGUGCGGUGUAAUUUUAAUUAAUGUUUUCAUUGCGCUGCAGGAAGGCAAGUGGGAGCCGGGAGCCUGGAAUGAACCAAGGCAAUCAAAUCCAACGCGAGCGCAAUCGACACCGGAACACCGAGGCCCACGAGCUCCACCGCCCGCCGCUUUGGCCGCUCACUGGUUGCGGAAGGCCCGCUCCAGAAUCCAGUCGACGUACAUGGAUACUCGGGUGUAGACGCCCGGGAACUUGGGGUGGCCGCAGCCGACGCCCGUCGAGACGAUACCCACCAGCUGGACCCGACCCGACGCCCGGUCACGCGCAGAGCUUUUUGUCGGUGAAGCCGCCCGGGAACUGGUUCUUGAAGCUGGAGGACGACUCGUAGACGGCCUGGCAGUCGGGCAAGGCCACCACCGGCAGCUUCA